AUCCAUCUGACCAAUCUCAAAUAGGACGAAAUGCGCGUCAAAUUGGAU
rnacentral:hammerhead_ribozyme from 1 species